AGAAAAGGAGGCUCUUGCUGUAGGCUCAGCCUUGUUUCUAAGGAAGGAAAGGUCUUCGCAAAGUGGGCGGAACACGCUGCCACCAGGAGAGAAUGUCAAUUUCAAUAUGAAUCAUCUCCUACAUCCCCAGCAACUUGCUCUGGGAAUAGACACCCUGACUCACUCCUCUCCUGACAGGAACAAGACUUGUUGCUGAAAUCUCAGAUUCCAAGAAGACCAGCCCAAUACCCCCUUCGAAAUGAAAAAGAAAGAAAGACAGAAAGAAAUCAACCUAGUAACCAACCAGCAGUCACAGAACCCUGGGCAGAGACAAAGCAAACCCCUUUGUACUGAUGAAGAGACGAGGCCCAGAGGAGGCCGGCUCACUCGGCUGCUGGCGCCAGAGCGGGGACACGAACCCAAGGCUCCUAACCUCCAAUUUUCUUUUGACAACAACUUGCUACUAUAUUUUCUAGAGAAAUAAAUUAUGCUCUGUGCUAGUGGAAAGCCUUUUAAAGAACAAGAAAAUGGCCAAGAUGCAUCUUAAUUAGAAACUGCUUGGCAAAAACUCUUUGAAGAAGGAAAGCGCAGAGUGUGGAGCGGUGAGUGGUCGGUCGGCGGUGUGAGUGCACGACACUGCAGCAAGCUAAUUUCGAGGCGUGCUUUGCUCUGAUGAUCACCCCUUGGGCCCCAGGAAUGUUCUGAUCAUCAGAAGGUGGCCGAGGAAUUGUGCACAUGUCACUCAAGGCCACAAGGAGACCACCAUGGGGCCGUAGCAUCUGUCUAACAGCAGGUUCUCUUAUCUUCCUUGGGCUAAGGGCCUGGCUAUCAGUGACCAGUGCUCCUAAGCCAUUUCCUCCGACUUUUAUAUCCUCUGGCCUCCGGAUGGCGCUUUCAGGGCUCUCAAAGCAUGUGACUACCAGGAAGGUUUGCUUGCUGCCCUUAAGCCUGACCCAUUCUAUCCAAGGAAUUGCAACAUCACCACUUACAAAGCUGAUGACAGCUUUUUCUCAAAACAAACUCAAAGCCUGGGUCAGGAAUGUGCACCGCGGCCUGCCAGAAUCAGUGAGCAACAUAGCCCAACACUGAGUUUCCAGGAGCUAUGGAUUUUUUUUCUCCAGAAAAAAACCUCCAAAAACCAAAACUCAUCAAGUAGUUAUGGUAUUUUCAGCCAGAUAAGUCAAAUGUAUACACCGGGAAGGGUGUGUAUACCUGCAGGGAAGAAAAAAAAUGUAAUGUUUGGUGAAGGCUUACUAUGUGCUAACCCCCCAUUUCACAGGUGAGUAGACUGAGGUUCAGAGAAGUUUGUGACUUGCCCAAUUUCACUCAGCUGGUAAGUGCUAGGGAUGGGAUUUAAACCCAGGCAUAUCUCUGAAGUCAAAGCUGCUACCUCCCAGAAACAUACGUGGAGAUCCACGUACUAGGGAAGCAGCUGGUUUUCACAAACUAUCUAUCUGGCAACAUCUGCAGUUCCCAAGGCAGCCACACUGGUGGAGUAACUCUCACCCCGACAAAAAGACCCACCAAGGCUGGUGUGUGUGUGUGGAGGGGGAGAGUAUGAACAGUUUGCAGAAGGCACUACUAAGUCACACGCCAAAAAGCAAUUGUAAAAAUGACAUCUUGGGGCCUGGAUUUAUUCCCUCUUCAACAUCAUAUUUGCUCCGUUUACAAGGCAAAGAUGAUUUUUCUCUCUGCCAAGGCUGAACAUUCCCAGCCUGUGAUCUGAAAAUCAUGCUGUGUUCAUUUUGCCUCUUAACUCACCCAAGGCCAUAAAUCAUCCCUCAAAAUGGGGAUUUGGCUGGCAGUUCUAUUGGGGAUUUGCGAGGCAGAGGCGGAAUCCAAUUUGGGGCUCCUCAUGGUCAUCCUGGGGCUGGCUCAGAGCAGGGAGAUGUUACUUUUGGCCACACAAGCACAGAGAAGAGGCCUGAACAUCAGAUCUGCUGACUAAGCAGAACUGCUACUUUUUACAGGGUCUGUCUGCUGAUUCGGAGUGUACUCUGUGACGAGAGGUCAAGGCAGCUGCAGGGGAUGAGAGGAAUAGAGAACACAGCAAGACCCAGCCCUUACCCAGCCAAACCCAGGCCGAAGGACAUGAGGGAAAAUAGGGCACUCAGAGACUGCACUAGGCAAUUUAUUUAUUCUACAAAAUGUACUGAAAGCCUACUCUGCACCAGGCACUGUUUCUUUCCUUGGACUAUACUUAUUCUCAUUAUUACUUUUUACAAACAUAAUAAUCACAGCAGCCUACAUUUUAUGAAUGUAUAUGGGCAGGUACUAUACACCAGGUGUUUUACACCCAUCAACUUUCUUUAAUCCUUACAGCUGUUGAGUGAAGUAGUUGUUAUCCCCAUUGUACAGAUGGGGAAAUUAGGUGCAGAGAAGUUAAGAAACUCGCCCAAAGUGACAAGACUACAAAGUGGCAGAGACAGGAUUCAAACUUAGGCUGGUCUAGUUCUCAAAUCCAUUCUCCUCUCUGUCCAUCACACUGACAGCCAAUGGUAUGUUUUGCAAGUACAUUUGGCCUUGAUCAACAUGAACUUGUAAUGCGUGGGUCCACCUAAUCGCAAAUUUUCUCUUUUUUUCCGAGAUGGAGUCUCAUUCUGUCGCCCAAGCUGGAGUGCAGUGGGGCAAUCUCGGCUUACUGUAAUCUCCACCUCCCAGGUUCAAGCAAUUCUCCUGCCUCAGCCUCCCAAGUAGCUGGGUCUACAGGUGGGCGGCACCACGUCUAGCUAAUUAUUUUGUAUUUUUAGUAGAGACGGGUUUCACCAUGUUGGCCAGGCUGGUUUCGAACUCCUGACCUCAGGGGCUCUGCCCACCUUGGCCUCCUAAAGUGCUGGGAUUACAGACAUGGACCACUGGACCCAGCCAACGCAGAUUUUCUUCUGCCUCUGCCAUUCCUGAGACAGAAGACCAACCCCCACUUCCUCCUCCUCAGCCUGCUCAGCAGGAAAAUGAUGAGGAUGAAGACCUUUAUAAUGAUCCACUUUCACUUAAUGGACAGUGAAUAUAUUUUCUCUUCCUUUAUUUUCUUAAUAAGAUUUAAUUUUCUCUAGCUUAUGUUAUUAUAAUACAGUAUAUAAUACACAGAACAUACAAAAUAUGUAUUAACUUUUUAUUAUUGGUAAAGCUUCCAGUCAACAGUAGGCUAAUAAGCAGUUAAGUUUCUGGGAAGUCAAAAGUUAUACUCAGAUUUUCAACUGUGCAGGGGGUUGGUGCCUCUUACCCCUGUGUUGUUCAAGGGUGAACUGUAGAUGUUUUUAGGUUAUUAGGCACGCAUAAAAGAUGUUCCUAUGGUGGAAGAAAAGAGGGAAAUCUGAGUCUUCUGUUCGACCCCUGAGUACUCAGCUGAUGUCUAAUAAAUGAUGAUGCCUAGAGAUGGGAGGCUGCAGACCCUGACCACGAAUCACAUGCCUUCCCUGGCCUUCCACUGGGGGCAGUGGUGUACAGGACGUGGCACACACCAACCCAGAGACCAUUCCCCUACCCCACUGUGUUCUUGGCGGCCACUGUAUGUGGUCACUGGGAGACAUGGCAGCAUGGUAGUUUAUGGCUUGGGUUUUGAAGUCCAGCGGAACUGGGAUUAAGACUUUGCAAGUCCUCAAACUUGCCAAAUCCCAAUCUCCUCAUCUGUGCAAUGGGGAUAAGAUGGGUAAUUUAGAUUUUAUAAGGGCUGU
rnacentral:lncRNA from 1 species